UCAGCGGCGGACGGGUGAGUAAUGCCUAGGAAUCUGCCUGGUAGUGGGGGACAACGUUUCGAAAGGAACGCUAAUACCGCAUACGUCCUACGGGAGAAAGCAGGGGACCUUCGGGCCUUGCGCUAUCAGAUGAGCCUAGGUCGGAUUAGCUAGUUGGUGAGGUAAUGGCUCACCAAGGCGACGAUCCGUAACUGGUCUGAGAGGAUGAUCAGUCACACUGGAACUGAGACACGGUCCAGACUCCUACGGGAGGCAGCAGUGGGGAAUAUUGGACAAUGGGCGAAAGCCUGAUCCAGCCAUGCCGCGUGUGUGAAGAAGAUCUUCGGAUUGUAAAGCACUUUAAGUUGGGAGGAAGGGCAGUAAGCGAAUACCUUGCUGUUUUGACGUUACCGACAGA
rnacentral:rRNA from 1 species